rnacentral:rRNA from 1 species
CCUGAUGCAGCAACGCCGCGUGAGUGAUGACGGCUCUUCCGGAGUUGUAAACCUCUUUCCUCAGGGACGAUAAUGACCGGACCUGACGAAGAACCACCGGUAACUUACUUGCCAGCGCCCCGGGUAA